rnacentral:rRNA from 1 species
ACUAAAUAGAUACCCCGGUAGUCCACGCCCUAAACGAUGUCUACUAGUUGUUGGUGGAGUAAAAUCCAUGAGUAAACGCAGCUAAACGCGUGAAGUAGACCGCCUGGGGAGUACGGUCGCAAGAUUAAAACUCAAAGGAAUUGACGGGGGCCCGGCACAAGCGGUGGAUUAUGUGGAUUAAUUCGAUGCAACGCGAAAAACCUUACCUGGCCUUGACAUGCCACUAACGAAGCAGAGAUGCAUUAGGUGCCCGUAAGGGAAAGUGGACACAGGUGCUGCAUGGCUGUCGUCAGCUCGUGUCGUGAGAUGUUGGGUUAAGUCCCGCAACGAGCGCAACCCUUGCCAUUAAUUGCCAUCAUUUAGUUGGGCACUUUAAUGGGACUGCCGGUGACAAACCGGAGGAAGGUGGGGAUGACGUCAAGUCCUCAUGGCCCUUAU